GGCGGUGGUGGUGGAGCCACUUCUGGAUACUUCGGAGUCGGACAAGGCGUUAUGGGAGGUGGUGGAGCUGUUGGACAAUCUGCCUACUUCGGAGUUGGAGGAGGUGCUGCUGGAGGUGCCAAGUCUGGAG
rnacentral:sRNA from 1 species